CUACGGGUGGCAGCAGUGGGGAAUAUUGCACAAUGGAGGAAACUCUGAUGCAGCAACGCCGCGUGGAGGACGACACUUUUCGGAGCGUAAACUCCUUUUAUAUAGGAAGAAGAUGACGGUACUAUAUGAAUAAGCGCCGGCUAACUCCGUGCCAGCAGCCGCGGUAAUACGGAGGGCGCAAGCGUUACUCGGAAUCACUGGGCGUAAAGAGCGUGUAGGCGGAUUAAAAAGUCAGAAGUGAAAUCCUAUAGCUUAACUAUAGAACUGCUUCUGAAACUCUUAAUCUAGAAUAUGGGAGAGGUAGAUGGAAUUUCUGGUGUAGGGGUAAUAUCCGUAGAGAUCAGAAGGAAUACCGAUUGCGAAGGCGAUCUACUAGAACAUUAUUGACGCUGAGACGCGAAAGCGUGGGGAGCAAACAGGAUUAGAUACCCGAGUAGUC
rnacentral:rRNA from 1 species